rnacentral:rRNA from 1 species
UACGUAGGGUGCAAGCGUUAAUCGGAAUUACUGGGCGUAAAGCGUGCGCAGGCGGUCCGCUAAGACAGAUGUGAAAUCCCCGGGCUUAACCUGGGAACUGCAUUUGUGACUGGCGGGCUAGAGUAUGGCAGAGGGGGGUAGAAUUCCACGUGUAGCAGUGAAAUGCGUAGAGAUGCGGAGGAACACCGAUGGCGAAGGCAGCCCCCUGGGCUAACACUGACGCUCAGGCACGAAAGCGUGGGGAGCAAACAGG